rnacentral:rRNA from 1 species
UACAGAGGUCUCAAGCGUUGUUCGGAUCAUUGGGCGUAAAGGGCGCGUAGGCGGCGGGGUAAGUCGGGUGUGAAAUCUCAGAGCUCAACUCUGAAACUGCACUCGAUACUGCUCUGCUUGAGGACUGGAGAGGAGACUGGAAUUCACGGUGUAGCAGUGAAAUGCGUAGAUAUCGUGAGGAAGACCAGUGGCGAAGGCGGGUCUCUGGACAGUUCCUGACGCUGAGGCGCGAAGGCCAGGGAGCAAACGGG